AUAUCAAUAAGCGGAGGAAAAGAAACCAACAGGGAUUGCCCUAGUAACGGCGAGUGAAGCGGCAACAGCUCAAAUUUGAAAUCUGGCUCUCGGGCCCGAGUUGUAAUUUGUAGAGGAUACUUUUGAUGCGGUGCCUUCCGAGUUCCCUGGAACGGGACGCCAUAGAGGGUGAGAGCCCCGUCUGGUUGGAUGCCAAAUCUCUGUAGAGUUCCUUCAACGAGUCGAGUAGUUUGGGAAUGCUGCUCUAAAUGGGAGGUAUAUGUCUUCUAAAGCUAAAUACCGGCCAGAGACCGAUAGCGCACAAGUAGAGUGAUCGAAAGAUGAAAAGCACUUUGAAAAGAGAGUUAAAAAGUACGUGAAAUUGUUGAAAGGGAAGCGUUUAUGACCAGACUUGGGCUUGGUUAAUCAUCUGGGGUUCUCCCCAGUGCACUUUUCCAGUCCAGGCCAGCAUCAGUUUUCCCCGGGGGAUAAAGGCGGCGGGAAUGUGGCUCUCUUCGGGGAGUGUUAUAGCCCACCGUGUAAUACCCUGGGGGGGACUGAGGUUCGCGCAUCUGCAAGGAUGCUGGCGUAAUGGUCAUCAACG
rnacentral:rRNA from 1 species